AUUUAUAUAUGUAAUUAUUGGCUUACAUGAGUAUGUACGUGAGAAAUAUAUCAAAGCAAUUGAACUAAAAGAGGUGGGUUCGAACACGGGGAAAGACUAGUUAUAUGAAUUGGGUCUGUUAGUAUCACAAUUGAUUAUACUCUAGCUAUCUAAAAUCAAUUAUCAAACUAUAAAACACCAAGGCUUAUUACUUUUGUCUUAAUUCAAUACAUAUUCCAUUCUACAACUAUCAAUUCAACAAUACUUCCAUAUUCUC
rnacentral:lncRNA from 1 species